CCUGGGACUUAGGAGUCUCAGGCAUGAGUCUGUUUGCAUAACCAUUAUGCUGUCUUCCCCGCCCAAAUGUCUUACUCUGGUAUGAUUCUAUACAUAAAUGUCCUUGCUUCUUUGAAAGCAGAAGGAGGAGGAGAAAGAUAAGGGGUCAAGAGAUAGCUCACCAGGUAGGGUGUCUGUCUUGCCUUGUCUAGUGGAUUUUUUUUUCAUUUUACACAAGUUCAUAAAGAUCUUUUUUUUUUUUGGCUCCCCAAAAUAAACCCAGGGUCCUGAAUCACCUCCCUGAUCCAGUUUUUCUUCUCUUUAGCUUAUUGAGAGAAGGUGAAAUAGAUACACACACAGGGGGACAAGCAAGGGGGAGAUAGAAGAGACACCACACAACACAGGUCCAUUAUCCCAAGAGUUCCCUUCCCCCCACUCCAAGCUGUCCAUGGUGCUACAUCCCCAACUGAGAUGGAGAUGUCUUACUGCUGAGAAUAUGGACAUAUUUGUAGCCAUCUCAGGACAUGGCUUGGAAGGAUGGUGCAUGAAGCAUGGUGAGACACUGGUAUUCUGGAAGCAAUAUUCAGCAACAGCCAAGGGAUUCCUUGAGUGACCCAGACCUUCCAAGACAAUAGUGAAGGAGGGUAGUAGUGGAGAGGACAUGAUUGAAAUACAUCCCAGUGACUAACCAGUGAGCCUUUUGAUUAGGAAACUGAUUAAAGUGCAGCCUGAAAGACUGAGGAUCUUAGAAACCCCCCAAGAAGAGCCCCUGAGCUUGAGUGGAUAUGUUCUUGCCUUAGUCAUCUAAGUUUGCCAUAAGAGGUCUCAAAAAGCAGAGCAACUGCAUUUUCCAUGACAGGAGAAGCUGUAUUAUGUGUCUGUAUUUGUCUGUCUCUAUGAUAUAUGUGCUCUUUAUUAGAUCUAGACAUAGAUGCAGGUGUAGGUAUAGAUAAAGUACUCUAUAGUUACAAAUGAGAAGGGGCAUAUGAAAUGAGACUCUUCGUCAGGAGAAGGCAAUGUAUUUGGUCUCCUCCGGACAAUGAGACCUGUGUGUGGUGUUCCUCUUAAAAAAUGGAGGUGAGCAUUCAUUUUGGUUCUAGGAGUCUGGAAGCCAUCUCUGUGCCUUGUAUUAAUUAAGAAUGCAAAGAUUCCCUGCAUUUAAAAUGUUAAGUAUGUAUCUUCAUACAUGUGUGAAGAUACACACACACACACACACACACACACACACACACAUACAAUGUGUUUCCAAGGCAUCAAAGCAGCUGGGAAGAAGGCACAUCAAUCUUUCUUUCCUGAUCUAAAAGAUAUGAGUGUUUGCAAACUGUCAGCUAUAGUGUCCAAACAGGCAGCCAUUAUUUAAAUUUCCUUUCUCUUUGAAGGACUAUAUUAUGAUGAAAUCAAUGGAGUCCAUCUUAUUCCUUUAUAAAUAAAAGACUCCUCUAUCCUUGUGAUUAAAUAUGAAAUAGAUCAUAAAAACCACAUGUAAACAUGCACUUUUUUGCAUUUACCUUUUUUGCUGUUCUACCAUUUUUCCUUAUUCAUUCUUAAACUCUCCAGAUGAUAAAAUUUCAGCAUUUUGACAAAAUAUAGUCACUCAGUAGUGAUAAACAGAUGUGUGAGAAUCAUGAAAAUGGGUAAAUAAUGAAGAAAAUUCAGGCACUGAAUGAGGAAAAAAAGUAAAAAAUGCCACCUCAGUGGCUUAAUUAUUUAGCUAUUUUUUCUUGGAUCUCUGCUUAAAAUUACAUUAUUUUGUCCUAAAAUACUUCACUUUCCCUAAAUGUGUUUUUUACCACAAGAAUAAAAUCUUCUAGAAAUAUGUAUAGAAACUUUUCUCCUGGAUUGCUUUACUAUUUUACUGCUGACUCCAGGAGGAAGACCACUGAUCGGCCUGCAAAUGCCAAAGAGAAAUGCAAGGGACGAUCCUUAAAUUAAAGAUGAGAUGAAUAGCUAGUUUCUCUGCCCAUAAACCUAAUCUCUAGAAACCAAUUCAAUUAAGUUCUGAAGACCUAAGCAUAAAUUAGAACAGACCCAGGGAAUCCCUCCCAGGUUAUAUGAUUCCUGAAUUAUAAAGUUCCCAAUCUUUACGUUUAAAGAGACAUUGGAGACCCACACUGGAUCUGAAUUCAGUCAUAGACUAUAGUUUCUAAGUUCUUCAAAGCUGUAAGCAUCUCUGGAAGUACCUCUUCUAUAGAUGUAGGUCCCCAGGAUGAUUCAGGUGGGAGCUUGGCAAACACUUUAAGGUUACAGUGACUUAAGGUUUGGACUUGCUCUCAAGAGACAUGGAUUUGAAUUUGACCCUGGUUAUACCUGAGACUCUAGACAAUUUCUCAACCUGCCAGUUUUUUCAGGCACUGUGAAGCUGGUGGUGGCUGCUGAUCACAGCUGGAUCAAGCUUCCCUCCAGUAGUCCUUAAACCAAAGCAGAUGGGAGAAGCCCCAGGGCUGGAGAGGGGGCAAACUUGGCUUCUCCAUACCUCACUUUUUGUGGGUCUAAGAUUCUAUGCUCUAAAACAAACUUAUGGUUUAAGAUAUUUCUGGAAAUAUUAAGAGAUUUCCUAAUGUGACUGUGUGUUUAAUCAUUUUAAGCAAUUUUUUGAUAGACCAAAGUGCUAGAGAAAAGGAAGCAGAAGCCUUGGAAGGUUGUUUAUAAGACAUAUAAACCUUGGUCUCAGGUAUAUGCCAUGCAACAUAUACUUAUAUGAUGUUUGGAAAUCAUAAAAUAGAACCUAGUAAAAUGCCUCAAAUAUUUCAUAAAUGUCUUAUAAAUAUGUGUUGAAUGGGGAAAAAUAAAUGCCUUGAAGGGGACUUGUUUACACUUUCAA